UUUUUUAUAAGAUUUUGAUUGCAGUUUGUGCUGCAAGUUUUCAACAACAAUUGAUUAGAAAACAAGAAUAUAGGUGCUGCAAGUUUCUUAAAAAGUCUUCAUCCCUCGUUGCAUCUCAUUUUCAUUUCUAUUCUUUUUUAUUACAUUUUGAUUGCAGUUUGUGUGUGUGUAAGAAAAAUAUUGCAUUAUACAUGCCACGCCCCUUUUUUCCCUUUCUGUUGAGGGUGCAGGGGUUGUUAUUAAAGACACAAAAACCAAUAUAUUUAUUUAUUCUUAAAUUAUCUUGUUCUCCCUUUCUGUUGAGGGUGCAGGGGUUGUUAUUAAAGACACAAAAACCAAUAUAUUUAUUUAUUCUUAAAUUAUCUUGUUCUCUAUCCAGUCAAUGGCUAUCAUAUAUUGGCAUCCAAAAGUAGAACAUCUGAGGAGAAUAUAUUUCAAAAUUGGAAAGGCUUUGAAGUGUCCGAGAAAUAUAUUUUUGCCGAAAGCUCCAGUAUCAAAGGAAAGAAGAGCUCAAAGCGUCAACAUAAACGGAGGAAAGAGCGAGGAAAUACAUUAAAAAAAAAAAAAAAAAAAAAAAAAAAAAAAAAAAAAAAAAAAAAAAAAAAAA